rnacentral:rRNA from 1 species
UACGGGGGGAGCAAGCGUUGUUCGGAUUUACUGGGCGUAAAGGGCGCGUAGGCGGCCAGUCGCAAGUCAGUUGUGAAAUCUCCGAGCUUAACUCGGAAAGGUCAACUGAUACUGCUCGGCUAGAGUGCGGAAGGGGCAACUGGAAUUCUUGGUGUAGCGGUGAAAUGCGUAGAUAUCAAGAGGAACACCUGCGGCGAAGGCGGGUUGCUGGGCCGACACUGACGCUGAUGCGCGAAAGCUAGGGGAGCGAACGGGG